AGCUGAGGGGGAAGCCCUCUUUUUAAAAGAAGUGUCAUUCUUAGCACUGGCUUUUACAAUUCUAUCUUGUCCUGCAGGUUUGUGGUCUACGAAGACACAACACACAAGGAAAGAGCGAUUGGAAGGGAAGAGGAAGAAGCGUUCGUACUGCCUGUUUGCCUGGAUUCUCGUUCGUUUGCGUGGUUUUCCGUGCCGCUGAAGGGCAGGUACCUGUGCACAGGAUGCCGACCACAGAAGACUUCCGGGCGGCCUCGGUGUUGUUGGCUCCUAGGGCAUUCCCAACCUGGACGCUGACGGCGGUACUGAUCCCGUACGGAAUCUGGAAAGGUGCAACGAGUCGGUGCUCGGAUCUGACCGCUGCGCCCAGGUGGAAGAAUGGGAGGGGCCUGCUUUCUUGGCUCCGCCCCCUCCCUCGCCUUCCCACUCACCUAUCAGGAAGCUUCCGAUUUCGAAGGUCCACCAUUCG